rnacentral:rRNA from 1 species
CAAUAGCGUAUAUUAAAGUUGUUGCAGUUAAAAAGCUCGUAGUUGGAUUUCUGGUGGGAGCGAUCGGUCUGGCGCUUAGCGCGAGUACUUGCAUCGUCUCCGGCCAUACUUGGGGAGAGUCUGUCUGGCAUUAAGUUGUCGGGCAGAGGAUCCUCAUCGUUUACUGUGAAAAAAUUAGAGUGUUCAAAGCAGGCUUAUGCCGUUGAAUAUAUUAGCAUGGAAUAAUAAGAUAGGACUUUGGUACUAUUUUGUUGGUUUGCGCACCAAAGUAAUGAUUAAUAGGGACAGUUGGGGGUAUUCGUAUUCCGUUGUCAGAGGUGAAAUUCUUGGAUUUACGGAAGACGAACUACUGCGAAAGCAUUUACCAAGGAUGUUUUCAUUAA